rnacentral:rRNA from 1 species
ACCCACCUACGGGGCGCAGCAGUGGGGGAUAUUGCACAAUGGGGGGAACCCUGAUGCAGCGACGCCGCGUGGGUGAAGAAGCGCCUCGGCGCGUAAAGCCCUGUCAGCAGGGAAGAAAAUGACGGUACCUGAAGAAGAAGCCCCGGCUAACUACGUGCCAGCAGCCGCGGUAAUACGUAGGGGGCAAGCGUUAUCCGGAUUUACUGGGUGUAAAGGGGGCGCAGACGGCGAUGCAAGCCAGGAGUGGAAGCCCGGGGCCCAACCCCGGGACUGCUCUUGGGACUGCGUGGCUGGGGGGCA